UGGGGACCGGCAGCGGGAGCUCCGCCCGGGCCGCCGUGGCCGUGCGGGGCCGGGCGGCGGGAGCUGUCCGCGGGCGGCACCGGGGGAGGCCCCGGGUUCUCCCCCCUCCUCAAAAUGGCGGGGGCGGUCGCCAGCCCCGGCGGGGUGAGGGCGGCGGGGGCCGGAGCGCCGUCCCCUCGGCUCGGCCCGCCGCUCGCUCCCGGUGGCGGUGACCGCGCUCUGCCCGCGCGGCCCGGGCCCGCCGCUCUGCGGGGCGGAGAGGGGCUGCGGGCUCGGGCCGGGGUACGCUGACCCUGCUCCCCGCUGCGGCGCGGCACGGCCGCCGUGUGCGUGGCGUGAGGAGCGGGGCUGCGCGCCGGGAAUGCGGCGGCUGGGCCUGGCGUUGGGCCGCCGGGGGCUGAGGGAGCUCUGACCGCUACGCAGGGCAGGCAGCGGCUCAGCCUUGGGCUGUUCUCCAUGCGGAGCCUGUGCCCUCCGCCGUCAGCGCCGUGCUCGCUCCUAACGCGUCUUCUGGUAGCGAUGGGACAUGUUUCUGCUUGGGGCUGAGCCUCCGAUGGGCUGGAGUUUGCGCAGUGUGAGAGCCCUUCGGUAGGUGCUGAAAGCUUUGGGUCCGGUUUUCUGUGCACAUGACCAUUUCCAGCGUUGAGGCAAGCCUUGUGCCAUACCUCUGAAAAAAACUCUUCUCCAAGUGCUUGUGAAUGAGUACACUGAGACCAUAACCCCAUUUCUGGAAUGGAGCUAGACUUCCCCACAGUGUCAAUUUUUUUGAAACUAAAUAGAGCCGACAACAAAAACUGACAAAAAAUCCACCCAAGGCAACUGAAUUCAACUACUUUGGUUGCUUCUUCCACAGUACUGAAUGCCCUGUCAUGGAGAACUAUACAGAGAGGUUGCCAUGAGCUUGGCAAAUUAUCACUGUCUAGUUGUCUAGAGACACUCCAAUGUAGGGAUGACUGUUCUGGGAAAGCCACUUCUUGUGCUUGAUUUGCCGAGUCUGGAGUACUGGAAGAACCUAGAGCAGCGUGUGGUCCUUAGAUGAGGCUGUAGGACAAAUGCACUUAAAUUCUGACUUGGUAUUAGUGCACUUUGUCUGUGCUGGGGUAGGCAAGGAAUGAAAAAAAAACAACACACCAAACCAACCAGGAAAAAAAAAAAACACCCAACCAACAAUGAGUAGAGCAGUAAG